rnacentral:rRNA from 1 species
UCAGGAUGAACGCUAGCGACAGGCUUAACACAUGCAAGUCGAGGGGCAGCACGGGAGUAGCAAUACAACUGGUGGCGACCGGCGCACGGGUGAGUAACGCGUAUGCAACCUACCUAUCGAGAGGGGAAUAACCCGGCGAAAGUCGGACUAAUACCGCAUAAAACAGGGGCACCGCAUGGUGAUAUUUGUAAAGAGAUUCGCUGAUAGAUGGGCAUGCGUUCCAUUAGGUAGUUGGUGAGGUAACGGCUCACCAAGCCGACGAUGGAUAGGGGAACUGAGAGGUUGGUCCCCCACACUGGUACUGAGACACGGACCAGACUCCUACGGGAGGCAGCAGUGAGGAAUAUUGGUCAAUGGGCGGGAGCCUGAACCAGCCAAGUCGCGUGAAGGAAGAAGGAUCUAUGGUUCGUAAACUUCUUUUGCAGGGGAAUAAAGUGCAGGACGUGUCCUGUUUUGUAUGUACCCUGAGAAUAAGGAUCGGCUAACUCCGUGCCAGCCGCGGC